rnacentral:rRNA from 1 species
AUGACGGAUGAAGAAAAGUUGUUAGUGAGAACAUUGAACUCAGCAAAACUGCCAACAAGAAAAAUAAUGGACAUACUAUCAUUUUUAAGGCAUGGCCCGCUUCCAUACACGAAGAAAUAUGUGACGAAUGUGAGGGCAUCGAUCAGGAAAGAGAAUGAUGGCAACGAUAUGAUGCAGCUGCUGGACUACUUCAGGAACAAGCAAGCAGAAGAUCCAAGAUACUACUACAAGUUUAAGGUUCAUCCGCAAAAACCAAGCAAAGUGCUGUGCAUUUUCUGGGCUGAUGGCUACUCAAGGAAAAUGUAUGAUCUGUAUGGAGACAGCCUAAGUUUCGACACAACCUACAAAACCAACAAAUACAAUCUGCCAUUUGCCCCAUUUGUUGGUGUGUUCGGGCAUGGACAGAACUGCUUGUUUGCAUGUGCUAUCAUUCAGGAUGAGACGAUCAACACGUUCAUUUGGCUCUUUCAGACAUUCCUAGAGUGUAUGGGCAGGAAGCAGCCAAGGACCGUUAUCACGGACCAAGACACGUCCAUGAAGGAGGCUGUCCCUGAGGAGGCUGUCCCUGAGGUGUUCAACCUCUCCAAGCACAGAAACUGUCUGUUUCAUGUGAAGAAAAAAGCUGAAGAGAAAUGUUGCAGGACUUUUGUCACAAAAGGUGAUCUCCAUGCUGAUUUCACAGACAUUGUGCACAACUCCCUCACAGUUGCAGAGUUUGAAAAGUUGUGGCAAGAGAUGGUGCAGAAGUAUGACAUUGGUGCUGUUAACUAUUUCAAGAUUAUGUGGAAAGAGAGGAGAAGGUGGGCACCUGUCUACUUCAAGACAGAUUUUCUCCCACUCUUACACUCAACAUCAAGGAGCGAAGGCAUGAAUGCCAUAUUCAAGGACAAUGUAGCGUCGACCGACAAUGUGAUUAGUUUCAUGACAGAAUAUGAGAAGAUAUCUGAACGCAUACAAGACAUGGAGAGGGAGCAAGACUCGUUGACAAGGACAACGAAACCAACAUUCUGGGUGCACAAUGAGCUUGAGAUUCAGGCAUCACGAAUGUACAACCGGCAGAUUUUUUACCGGUUUUAG